rnacentral:tRNA from 1 species
GCCUUAGCCGCCGGCGGGCCCCCUCCUCACGUUCAUGGUAAGGAGGGGGUCGGCGGUUCGAGUCCGCCAGAGGGCU